rnacentral:rRNA from 1 species
GACGAACGCUGGCGGCGUGCUUAACACAUGCAAGUCGAACGGAAAGGCCCUGCUUUUGUGGGGUGCUCGAGUGGCGAACGGGUGAGUAACACGUGAGUAACCUGCCCUUGACUUUGGGAUAACUUCAGGAAACUGGGGCUAUUACCGGAUAGGAGCUCCUGCUGCAUGGUGGGGGUUGGAAAGUUUCGGCGGUUUGGGAUGUACUCGCGGCUUAUCAGCUUGUUUGUGGGGUAGUGGCUUACCAAGGCUUUGACGGGUAGCCCGCCUGGGAGGGUUACCGGGGUCAUUAGGACUACGAUACGGAGCAGAAGCGUAUGUGACGCAGCAGGCGAGAGUAUGGCGCAAUAGCGGGGAGCGAGAGACGACAGCGUCGCGUGCGUGAUGAUGGGCUUCGGGUUAUGAACAGCUUUCGCAUGUGCCGAAGAGAGAGUGACGGUAACGGGUAAAGAAGCACCGGCUAACUACGUG